rnacentral:rRNA from 1 species
AUGGUGGAGCAGCAGCAGUCGGACAAGAGCACAUCCAUGGUGCCCAACCCGGUCUACGGACCAUGGCUGUCAAAGGACCAGCAAGUCCUCAGCUACCUGCUCAAUUCCCUCUCCAUGGAGAUACUAGCACAAGUCGUCGGUAAGGAGAAUACCUUCGAUUUAUGGACUGCACUUACGACUCUCUUCGCCUCGCAGUCUCAGUCUCGGAUCACGAAUCUGAGGAUGGCCAUCUCCAACACAAAGAAGGGAACCAUGCCAAGCACCCUGUUCAUGGCAAAGAUGAAAAGUUUAGGAGAUGAACUAGCUGCUGCUGGUCGGCCCGUCUCUGAUCCGGAGAUGGUCGACUACAUCCUAGCUGGUCUCGACCGUGACUACGAUCCAGUGGUUGCAGCGGUCGGCGCCAUCAAGAACACAAUCUAUGUUGAUGAUUUGUUUGCGCAGAUUGCUGCUUUUGAUCAGAGAAUGGAGAUGCUAGGAGAUGCUCCCGCUGGCGGCUACCACGGAUCUGCCAACGCCGUCUACAGAGGGCGCGGUCAGAAUCGGGGCAAGGGCCCCCGUGGU